UUUCUUCUUCUUUCUUCAAGCUUCAUAAACCCAAAGCUCUUGUAUUUUCACCCUGUUACAUUCAUUCGUUAUUGUACGGAUUGCUUCAAAAUGGUCUGUCUGGGAUUUUCGACUCGAUUAGUCAUGCAUGUUUUGAUUGGGGAAUUAAUUUUGAUUUAAUAGGUUCUCUAUUAGUAGGUGCAAUGGAGUCAUUAUGAGCAAAAUAAAGAGAAAACGUCCAUUUGGAGCGUAAAGGACAAAAAGCGUCAAUUGACGUGCAAGUGCGAUUGAGAGCUCGGCGAUCAGUGACGUGUUGGCAUCAUCACACCAGAAGCAGGCAACUUGAAUCAAUAGAAAAAAUCUUUGUAACAGGCUUCUCA